rnacentral:ncRNA from 1 species
CGCCCACAACGGCUUCCUGGCGUGGCGCGGCAAAUCCUCAACGGAGCA